UACGUAGGGUGCGAGCGUUGUCCGGAAUUAUUGGGCGUAAAGGGCUCGUAGGCGGUUUGUCGCGUCGGGAGUGAAAACGCCGUGCUUAACACGGCGCUUGCUUUCGAUACGGGCAGACUAGAGGUAAGCAGGGGAGAACGGAAUUCCUGGUGUAGCGGUGAAAUGCGCAGAUAUCAGGAGGAACACCGGUGGCGAAGGCGGUUCUCUGGGCAUUACCUGACGCUGAGGAGCGAAAGUGUGGGGAGCGAACAGG
rnacentral:rRNA from 1 species